AUGAUCUUCAGGGUGAAUCUGAAAACUGAGGACGCAGGAGAACCAAAGAUGGAGUUCUAUUACAAGUCUGAAGGCAGAACUAGGCGGGGAAGCUGGUCUGAGGACUUCUUGUGGGUGCUCUGCCUGGCCUUGGCAGACAGAUGGAUGCAGGCCAAAUCUAGGAGAAGAUUAGAAAACCCUCAUCUUUUCCUAAGGACAGUCAAGGCAUCAGAGAGCCUCCACCUGCAACAGGACUUCUAGUAAUGCUUUGAAAUCUGGAGACUGUGAACUCAUUCAGUCUACAGGAGCAGAGAUUUGGAUACUUUGAAAUGCCACGAAUUUUCUUGCCAAGGCUUCUCUGUGAUAAACUUCAUCUCCCCCUUCAUUCCCCUCAAAAAUACAAUUUUCAAUAAAUAGCAAACCCAUAAAUAACA
rnacentral:lncRNA from 13 species